UUGCCUGGCGGCCAUAGAGCAUUGGAACCACCUGAUCCCAUCCCGAACUCAGAAGUGAAACAGUGCAUCGCCGAUGGUAGUGUGGGGCUUCCCCAUGUGAGAGUAGGUCACCGCCAGGCUU
rnacentral:rRNA from 1 species